AACGAACGCUGGCGGCAGGCUUAACACAUGCAAGUCGAGCGCCCCGCAAGGGGAGCGGCAGACGGGUGAGUAACGCGUGGGAACCAUACCCUUUAGUACGGAAUAGCCUCGGGAAACUGGGAUUAAUACCGUAUGUGCCCUUCGGGGGAAACGAUUUAUCGCCAAAGGAUUAGCCCGCGUUGGAUUAGGUAGUUGGUGGGGUAAUGGCCUACCAAGCCGACGAUCCAUAGCUGGUUUGAGAGGAUGAUCAGCCACACUGGGACUGAGACACGGCCCAGACUCCUACGGGAGGCAGCAGUGGGGAAUCUUAGACAAUGGGGGAAACCCUGAUCUAGCCAUGCCGCGUGAUCGAUGAAGGCCUUAGGGUUGUAAAGAUCUUUCAGAUGGGAAGAUAAUGACGGUACCAUCAGAAGAAGCCCCGGNUAACUCCGUGCCAGCAG
rnacentral:rRNA from 1 species